rnacentral:rRNA from 1 species
UACGUAGGGUGCGAGCGUUGUCCGGAAUUACUGGGCGUAAAGAGCUCGUAGGUGGUUUGUCGCGUCGUCUGUGAAAUUCCGGGGCUUAACUUCGGGCGUGCAGGCGAUACGGGCAAUACUUGAGUGCUGUAGAAAGACUGGAAUUCCUGGUGUAGCGGUGGAAUGCGCAGAUAUCAGGAGGAACACCGAUGGCGAAGGCAGGUCUCUGGGCAGUUACUGACGCUGAGGAGCGAAAGCAUGGGUAGCGAACAGGAUUAGAUA